UAACCUGCCCAAGAGAUCGGGAUAACACCUGGAAACAGAUGCUAAUACCGGAUAACAACAGAUGAUGCCUAUCAACUGUUUAAAAGAUGGUUCUGCUACCACUCUUGGAUGGACCUGCGGUGCAUUAGCUAGUUGGUAGGGUAACGGCCUACCAAGGCGAUGAUGCAUAGCCGAGUUGAGAGACUGAUCGGCCACAUUGGGACUGAGACACGGCCCAAACUCCUACGGGAGGCAGCAGCG
rnacentral:rRNA from 1 species